GAUGAACGCUAGCUACAGGCUUAACACAUGCAAGUCGAGGGGCAGCAUUGAUAUAGCUUGCUAUAUCAGAUGGCGACCGGCGCACGGGUGAGUAACGCGUAUCCAACCUUCCCCUUAGUAGGGCACAGCCCGGCGAAAGUCGGAUUAAUUCCCUAUGUUGUUUGAUGCUGACAUCAAAAUCAAACCAAAGAUUCAUCGCUAAGGGAUGGGGAUGCGUCUGAUUAGAUAGUAGGCGGGGUAACGGCCCACCUAGUCAACGAUCAGUAGGGGUUCUGAGAGGAAGGUCCCCCACAUUGGAACUGAGACACGGUCCAAACUCC
rnacentral:rRNA from 1 species